CCUAGAGUUUGAUCAUGGYUCAGGACGAACGCUGGCGGCGUGCCUAAUACAUGCAAGUCGAACGAACUCUGGUAUUGAUUGGUGCKUGCAUCAUGAUUUACAUUUGAGUGAGUGGCGAACUGGUGAGUAACACGUGGGAAACCUGCCCAGAAGCGGGGGAUAACACCUGGAAACAGAUGCUAAUACCGCAUAACAACUUGGACCGCAUGGUCCGAGUUUGAAAGAUGGCUUCGGCUAUCACUUUUGGAUGGUCCCGCGGCGUAUUAGCUAGAUGGUGRGGUAACGGCUCACCAUGGCAAUGAUACGUAGCCGACCUGAGAGGGUAAUCGGCCACAUUGGGACUGAGACACGGCCCAAACUCCUACGGGAGGCAGCAGUAGGGAAUCUUCCACAAUGGACGAAAGUCUGAUGGAGCAACGCCGCGUGAGUGAAGAAGGGUUUCGGCUCGUAAAACUCUGUUGUUAAAGAAGAACAUAUCUGAGAGUAACUGUUCAGGUAUUGACGGUAUUUAACCAGAAAGCCACGGCUAACUACGUGCCAGCAGCCGCGGUAAUACGUAGGUGGCAAGCGUUGUCCGGAUUUAUUGGGCGUAAAGCGAGCGCAGGCGGUUUUUUAAGUCUGAUGUGAAAGCCUUCGGCUCAACCGAAGAAGUGCAUCGGAAACUGGGAAACUUGAGUGCAGAAGAGGACAGUGGAACUCCAUGUGUAGCGGUGAAAUGCGUAGAUAUAUGGAAGAACACCAGUGGCGAAGGCGGCUGUCUKGUCUGUAACGACGYGWGGYYKAMCUGCCCYYYYUA
rnacentral:rRNA from 1 species